rnacentral:tRNA from 1 species
GACCCCGUAGCUCAAUUGGAUAGAGCGUUCCCCUCCUAAGGGAAAGGCUGGAGGUUCGAUUCCUCUCGGGGUCGCCA